rnacentral:rRNA from 1 species
UAAGCAGGACGUCGAACCCAGAUGAAGGGGCAGUCGGAUUCACUUCGCGACUUCCGCCCUAUUAUUCCUCUGGCUUCGUCCUGCUCUCGAAUAGUUCACCAACUCUUCAGGGCUCACUCGUCUGCGCUGUCUUCCUCCACCCAUUGGAAAUGCUUUUGAUGGGGCCAUGCUGCGCCGGCCUCCGGGGAGCGCGUGAUCUCAGAUCUGCUGCUUGCUGAAUGCAUUCCCUUUUUUUGGGAAUUUGGGUUUUUCUGGCGUGAUGACUCGAGGCACAUGAUAAACUCCUUGCGGCCUGGUUGCAAAACUGGUAGGAGAGAUGACCCGCUCUUAACCCGAGAUGGACCAUGUGAGCUCGACCAGGACAGAUCUGACUACUCACAGCUUCGGUGGUCGACAUGCUGACCGCCGCCGACUCUCAGCUCGGCACCCAGCCGGGCGAGUUAACCAUACUCCUCUUCAUGGCACCCAUAGCAAACACAAUUCCCCCAUGACCGGGAAUGAGCACCCUGGCGACCUGAUGGACUACCCUCUGCUGCCCCGAGCCUCUCCGCGCACUUGGCCUGUCAAUGCAUCUUCAAUGGGCGGGGAGGACCAGCACUAGACGCGUACCCAAAACUGGAGUCACCAUGCUGUACGAGCGCCGUCCGACGACAAUUGAAUACACGCCGGAUAAACUGGCUCUAUCCUCUUACACCUCAUCGGAUUCACUUACUCUUUAACUCGCUCUUCAGAGUGCUUUGCAACUUUCCCUCCGGGAACUUGU